UUAAGCGACUAAGCGUACACGGUGGAUGCCCUGGCAGUCAGAGGCGAUGAAGGACGUGCUAAUCUGCGAUAAGCGUCGGUAAGGUGAUAUGAACCGUUAUAACCGGCGAUUUCCGAAUGGGGAAACCCAGUGUGAUUCGUCACACUAUCAUUAACUGAAUCCAUAGGUUAAUGAGGCGAACCGGGGGAACUGAAACAUCUAAGUACCCCGAGGAAAAGAAAUCAACCGAGAUUCCCCCAGUAGCGGCGAGCGAACGGGGAGCAGCCCAGAGCCUGAAUCAGUGUGUGUGUUAGUGGAAGCGUCUGGAAAGGCGCGCGAUACAGGGUGACAGCCCCGUACACAAAAAUGCACAUGCUGUGAGCUCGAUGAGUAGGGCGGGACACGUGGUAUCCUGUCUGAAUAUGGGGGGACCAUCCUCCAAGGCUAAAUACUCCUGACUGACCGAUAGUGAACCAGUACCGUGAGGGAAAGGCGAAAAGAACCCCGGCGAGGGGAGUGAAAAAGAACCUGAAACCGUGUACGUACAAGCAGUGGGAGCACGCUUAGGCGUGUGACUGCGUACCUUUUGUAUAAUGGGUCAGCGACUUAUAUUCUGUAGCAAGGUUAACCGAAUAGGGGAGCCGAAGGGAAACCGAGUCUUAACUGGGCGUUAAGUUGCAGGGUAUAGACCCGAAACCCGGUGAUCUAGCCAUGGGCAGGUUGAAGGUUGGGUAACACUAACUGGAGGACCGAACCGACUAAUGUUGAAAAAUUAGCGGAUGACUUGUGGCUGGGGGUGAAAGGCCAAUCAAACCGGGAGAUAGCUGGUUCUCCCCGAAAGCUAUUUAGGUAGCGCCUCGUGAAUUCAUCUCCGGGGGUAGAGCACUGUUUCGGCAAGGGGGUCAUCCCGACUUACCAACCCGAUGCAAACUGCGAAUACCGGAGAAUGUUAUCACGGGAGACACACGGCGGGUGCUAACGUCCGUCGUGAAGAGGGAAACAACCCAGACCGCCAGCUAAGGUCCCAAAGUCAUGGUUAAGUGGGAAACGAUGUGGGAAGGCCCAGACAGCCAGGAUGUUGGCUUAGAAGCAGCCAUCAUUUAAAGAAAGCGUAAUAGCUCACUGGUCGAGUCGGCCUGCGCGGAAGAUGUAACGGGGCUAAACCAUGCACCGAAGCUGCGGCAGCGACGCUGAUGCGUUGUUGGGUAGGGGAGCGUUCUGUAAGCCUGCGAAGGUGUGCUGUGAGGCAUGCUGGAGGUAUCAGAAGUGCGAAUGCUGACAUAAGUAACGAUAAAGCGGGUGAAAAGCCCGCUCGCCGGAAGACCAAGGGUUCCUGUCCAACGUUAAUCGGGGCAGGGUGAGUCGACCCCUAAGGCGAGGCCGAAAGGCGUAGUCGAUGGGAAACAGGUUAAUAUUCCUGUACUUGGUGUUACUGCGAAGGGGGGACGGAGAAGGCUAUGUUGGCCGGGCGACGGUUGUCCCGGUUUAAGCGUGUAGGCUGGUUUUCCAGGCAAAUCCGGAAAAUCAAGGCUGAGGCGUGAUGACGAGGCACUACGGUGCUGAAGCAACAAAUGCCCUGCUUCCAGGAAAAGCCUCUAAGCAUCAGGUAACAUCAAAUCGUACCCCAAACCGACACAGGUGGUCAGGUAGAGAAUACCAAGGCGCUUGAGAGAACUCGGGUGAAGGAACUAGGCAAAAUGGUGCCGUAACUUCGGGAGAAGGCACGCUGAUAUGUAGGUGAAGUCCCUCGCGGAUGGAGCUGAAAUCAGUCGAAGAUACCAGCUGGCUGCAACUGUUUAUUAAAAACACAGCACUGUGCAAACACGAAAGUGGACGUAUACGGUGUGACGCCUGCCCGGUGCCGGAAGGUUAAUUGAUGGGGUUAGCGCAAGCGAAGCUCUUGAUCGAAGCCCCGGUAAACGGCGGCCGUAACUAUAACGGUCCUAAGGUAGCGAAAUUCCUUGUCGGGUAAGUUCCGACCUGCACGAAUGGCGUAAUGAUGGCCAGGCUGUCUCCACCCGAGACUCAGUGAAAUUGAACUCGCUGUGAAGAUGCAGUGUACCCGCGGCAAGACGGAAAGACCCCGUGAACCUUUACUAUAGCUUGACACUGAACAUUGAGCCUUGAUGUGUAGGAUAGGUGGGAGGCUUUGAAGUGUGGACGCCAGUCUGCAUGGAGCCGACCUUGAAAUACCACCCUUUAAUGUUUGAUGUUCUAACGUGGACCCGUAAUCCGGGUUGCGGACAGUGUCUGGUGGGUAGUUUGACUGGGGCGGUCUCCUCCUAAAGAGUAACGGAGGAGCACGAAGGUUGGCUAAUCCUGGUCGGACAUCAGGAGGUUAGUGCAAUGGCAUAAGCCAGCUUGACUGCGAGCGUGACGGCGCGAGCAGGUGCGAAAGCAGGUCAUAGUGAUCCGGUGGUUCUGAAUGGAAGGGCCAUCGCUCAACGGAUAAAAGGUACUCCGGGGAUAACAGGCUGAUACCGCCCAAGAGUUCAUAUCGACGGCGGUGUUUGGCACCUCGAUGUCGGCUCAUCACAUCCUGGGGCUGAAGUAGGUCCCAAGGGUAUGGCUGUUCGCCAUUUAAAGUGGUACGCGAGCUGGGUUUAGAACGUCGUGAGACAGUUCGGUCCCUAUCUGCCGUGGGCGCUGGAGAACUGAGGGGGGCUGCUCCUAGUACGAGAGGACCGGAGUGGACGCAUCACUGGUGUUCGGGUUGUCAUGCCAAUGGCACUGCCCGGUAGCUAAAUGCGGAAGAGAUAAGUGCUGAAAGCAUCUAAGCACGAAACUUGCCCCGAGAUGAGUUCUCCCUGAC
rnacentral:rRNA from 1 species